GACGAACGCUGGCGGCGUGCUUAACACAUGCAAGUCGAACGGUGAACUCCGCUUGCGGGGGGAUCAGUGGCGAACGGGUGAGUAACACGUGGGCAACCUGCCCUCAGCUCUGAGAUAACUCCAAGAAAUUGGGGCUAAUACCGGAUAUGACCGCUGACCGCAUGGUCUGGUGGUGGAAAGAUUUAUCGGCUGGGGAUGGGCCCGCGGCCUAUCAGCUUGUUGGUUGGGUAGUGGCCUACCAAGGCGACGACGGGUAGCCGGCCUGAGAGGGUGACCGGCCACACGGGGACUGAGAGACGGCGCAGACGCGUACGGGAGGCAGCAGGGGAGAAUAUGGCGGAAUGAGCGAAAGCGUGACGCAGCGACGCCGGGUGGGGGAUGACGGCCUUCGGGUUGAAAACCUCUUUCAGCAGGGACGAAGCGAAAGUGACGGUACCUGCAGAAGAAGCACCGGCCAACUACGUG
rnacentral:rRNA from 1 species